GUUAUAUGAAGUACUACAUCGAUGAGCUGAACGAAGAGACUUACACCUAUAAUUACACUUUGGUUGAAGGAGAUGCCUUGACAAAGGGGCUUGAGAAGAUAACCUAUGAGAUUAAAUUUGAGGGCACACCUAAUGGUGGUACCAUCUCCAAGAUGACAAGUAAAUAUUAUACGAUGGGAGAUUUCGUAGUCCAGGAAGAAGAUGUCAAGGCUGGCAAAGAAAAGGCCGCAGGGAUGUACAAAGUUGUAGAAGCCUACCUCCUCCAAAACCCUGAUGCCUAUGCUUAGUGUGCUUGCUACCCGAAAUGAGUAACAUUGAGGCUGCCUAUUUUCUGCUGUUCUAACAAUAAAAGCCUAAACCACGCGUUGGGAGUGUUGUAAUUCAGUCAUCUUAAUAAAAAUGCUCAAUCCAGUUUGUUUCCUUUCAUUUUGGUUGUGGCCUAUUUCUGUGCAGUUAAUUUUGUGCAGUGGAAGUAAUUUCAGUGAUCAAGUUAAGUUUACAAACCAAGGUGCAUCGUAGUGCACAAACCAAACAAUUUACAAAUCAUUACGCUCGCAACAUGUGUGGGAACCAAUUGCUAACUGAGAAACAUAAUGCAGUAUCUUGCAUACCUAGGUGCUCUACUUCCAUGUUAAGUUCUCAACUGCUCUUAAAAGUUUAAGCUGUCUAAAAAGGGCCUAAAAGUAUUUGUAGAUGCAGAUGGUAUUAAUCUGGUUGAAGUAAUGUGCCCAUGCAUUUUGGUGCAAUAACAAUGAAACUGAUCUUGAGUUAUAGGUGAAGUUGGAUAAUGUGCAGGACUUGAAUAUCAGAUAAAUCAAAGUAUUUCGUUAAAGAAAUUGUGAAAAUUUUGAAAAGAAUGUUUCUAAGAGACAAUCUUGCACUAAUUGAUACAACCAAAUUUGGAUGCCUUCCUCUUCUUCCUUCUUGAAAGACAAUGGGCUUUGUUUAAUAUUUUUUUGAACAUGCCAUUAACUUAAUGCAUUAGGAGUUUUUCGUUAAAGUCGGAAAUAUGAUUAACAGUAUAUGUAAAUCAAAAAAUAAGUGGACUGGGAUUCAUUUUGAUGUAGCUUUUGGCAGAGCUGGAGUUUAUUUUUUGGGUGCAUUGAUGUUAGUUUGGGUCAGCCUUUCAAUGUUUUCAUUAGUUCCCAGUUUCAUUAUCAUGCAACAAAUCGUAAUAUGUCAGGGAUCCAACCCUUUUAGAUCCUUAAACUUUCAGUAUAUUCAGAAAAAAUAAUAAUUUUGCCUUGGCAAAAAAAAUUAAUUACUUAAAUAUUGUCUAGCACCAUAUGACUAGCCAUAAACAUCUAUAUAGUUUAACAUAACAAUUGCAAUGAGUCUUAUCUCAUCAAACGCUUAACUAUUCGUCUCAUUAUUGUAUAAUAACACUGCGAUUAAGCAGGUAAUCCCUAUUACAGUAAGGCCAAACCAAAGAGAAAAACUCACUCAUGAAAACAACAACAGUUGAAAGAUCAAACAAUACUAAACAUAGGCCUCCGGGUUCUGAAGGAGGUAGGCUUCCACAACCUUGUACAUUCCCAACACCUUUUCUUUGCCUACCUUAAUGUCCUCUUGUUUGAGCUCAAAAUCUCCCUUGGUGUAACACUUGGUUGUCAUCUUAGAAAUAGUCCCACCAUUUGCUGAUGCCUCAACUUAACUUCAUACGAUAUUUUUUCAAUCUUUUCCAUUAGUCCCUCCCCUUCAAUCAAGCUAUAGUUGUACGUAUAUGUCUUCUCAUUUAGCUCAUCAAUCCGGUGCUUCAGAUAGCCAAAAUUGUCACCUGCAGCAAAAAGAAAAUGAUAUCUUUCAUAUAUAUCUUUGUUUAAUGAUGUAACAAAUCAAACACAUGCAACAAGUUAAAAAUACCUUGAACAAAGUUGAUCUGUUUAAUGCUUCCAGCACCUCCAUCGCCUUGGAUGAGCUCGAUGCUCUUGAUAGCCUGUGGUAGGAGUUUUGGAAUCAAGUUAAGGGAGUCAAGGAUUGAAGCCUUAAAUAUUCUUGAUGGAGAAAUUGGAGAAGCAUACUCAUCGGUAAAAGUGAUAACACCCAUGACUAUUUUGUAGAGGUCUAAAGAUGAUUAGGGAGAAAAUAGAAAACUUGGGUUAUGUGCAGAGCUUGUUUGCAUAUUUUAGAUUUAUGAGAAGAUAUAGGAAGAAAGUUAGAUUUUCUAGUUUUUUUAACUGAUAAAUUACUUCUAAUUGGAUCAUUCCUUCUGCAGAUACCAAAGCAUAUAGACAACUAUAUUCGAUUCUUUGUCGAAUUUGCAUGUCCCAAGUCAUAACAAGCCAUUCCCAUUUAGUUGUGCAUCAAUUACCCAAAAGAUUUGAACACUUCCAAUACUACAAAUUCUUAGCAAAAAAUGACAGAUGGGAGAAUAAGCAGAUAAGAUAUUAUUUUGGUGCUUAGAAGGGACAGAACAGUUACACAGUCCCCUUUGUGAUAAAUCCUUGUUAAUUAAGAUGUACUACUAUUAUUUAUCAUUAAACAAGUCGUGGUGAUUGAUAAACUACAAUAAUUUGAUAAUUUAUGGAAUUCUAACUCACAUAUGUUUAAGGCAAUUGAGAUCCUUAAUUUUGUCCUAAGCAUAUUGCACAAUGGGAGGCAAUUAUUUCAGAAAAGUAAAACUCCAUUACUUCAAGUUAUAAAUACAUACCAUCUUCUCAUAUUCUGCAAACACAUUAUAACAAUCCUCUAUUACUUUCCCAGAGCUAAUUCAUCAUAAAAACUAGAAGAUGGGAAUCACCACUUUCACUGAUGAGUACAAUUACUCAAUCUCUCCAGCAAGACUAUUCAAGGGUUCGAUCCUUGACUCUCACAACUUGAUCCCAAAGCUCAUGCCACAGGCCAUUAAGAGCAUUGAAACUAUACAAGGAAAUGGAGGGACCGGCAGCAUCAAACAAAUCAACCUUGCCGGAGGUUAGAUUUCUAACUUUCUUGAUAAAAAACUAAAAAUUCUAUAGUAGUCCCUAAAACUUUUUCAUUAUCCGAUCACACUUUAAAAAACUUGAAUUUGACACAUGUUUCAUUACUUUAUUGCAGGUAGCACCUUUAGUUAUAUGAAGUACUACAUCGAUGAGCUGAACGAAGAGACUUACACCUAUAAUUACACUUUGGUUGAAGGAGAUGCCUUGACAAAGGGGCUUGAGAAGAUAACCUAUGAGAUUAAAUUUGAGGGCACACCUAAUGGUGGUACCAUCUCCAAGAUGACAAGUAAAUAUUAUACGAUGGGAGAUUUCGUAGUCCAGGAAGAAGAUGUCAAGGCUGGCAAAGAAAAGGCCGCAGGGAUGUACAAAGUUGUAGAAGCCUACCUCCUCCAAAACCCUGAUGCCUAUGCUUAGUGUGCUUGCUACCCGAAAUGAGUAACAUUGAGGCUGCCUAUUUUCUGCUGUUCUAACAAUAAAAGCCUAAACCACGCGUUGGGAGUGUUGUAAUUCAGUCAUCUUAAUAAAAAUGCUCAAUCCAGUUUGUUUCCUUUCAUUUUGGUUGUGGCCUAUUUUUGUGCAGUUACUAAAUUUUGGUUAAUGGAAGUAAUUUCAGUGAUCAAGUGAAGUUUGAAAACCAAGGUGCAUCAUAUUACACAAACCAGACAAUUUGUAAUUAAUUUUACUGGCAACAUGUGGGGGGAACCAUUUGCUAACAGAAAGACUUGAUGCAAGAACUUGCAUUCAAAGUUUAAGCCGUCUACAGAGCGCCUACAUGUAAAAGUAGAUGAAGAUGGCAUUCAUUUGGUUGAAGUAAUAUAUCCAUUUUGGUGCAAUACCAAUGAAAAUUGAUCGAGUUAUAGACGUAGUAAAAUAAUUUUAAGGAGACAAGUUAUGUUUAAAAUUUUGAAAGAAUUUUUCAAAGUGAUGAUGAUCUUGCACUAAUUGAUACAUCCAAAUACUUCCCCUGCCUUCCUCUGGCUACUCAUUUUUUUAAGUUUAAGUCAUUUUUUUUAACAUUCAAUUAAUUUGAUGCAGCAGGAGUUUCUCAUGAAAGACAGAAAUAUAAUUAACUAUAAGUGUAGAUCAAAAAAUAAGUGGACUGGGAUUCUGUUUGAUGUAGCUUUCACCAGAGCUAGAGUAUUUCAUGUAUUAUUGUGCCACUGUUGUAGCUGUUGGCAUAUAGUUUGGCCUAACAUAACAAUUGUAAUGAUUCUCAUCUCAUUUAACACUUGAUUAUACUUCUCAUUAUUGUAAAAUAGCAGCCACAUUAUGAAGUAAAACACGUAUUAACACUGCGAAUAAGCAGGUAAUCUUUAUUAUAGUAAGGCCAAACCAAAGAGUAAGCUCAGACUCAUGAAAACAACAACAGAAAAAAGAUCAAAGAACAUAGAAGGACAUUAAACAUAGGCAUCUGGAUUUUGAAGGAGGUAGGCUUCCACAACCUUGUACAUUCCCAACACCUUUUCUUUGCCUGCCUUAAUGUCCUCUUCUCUGAGCUCAAAAUCUCCCUUGGUGUAACACUUGGUUGUCAUCUUAUAAAUAGUACCACCAUUGGAUGAUGCCUCAAACUUAACUUCGUACGAUAUUUUUUCAAUCUUGUCCAUUAAUCCCUCCCCUUCGAUCAAGCUAUAGUUGUACAUAUAUGUCUUCUCAUUUAGCUCAUCAAUCCAGUGCUUCAAAUAACCAAAAGUUCCACCUGAAGCAAAAGAAAAACAUAACAUGUCAUAUUUAUCUGUUUUUUGUGAUGUAACAAGUCAAGCAAAAAAAAAACAGUAAAAAUUAGACCUUCAACAAGGUUGAUCUGUUUAAUACUUCCAGCACCUCCAUCACCUUGGAUGAUCUCGAUACUCUUAAUAGCCUGUGGUAGGAGUUUCGGAAUCAAGUUGUGAGAGUCGAGGAUUGAAGCCUUAAAUAUUCUUGAUGGGGUAAUUGAAGAAACAUACUCAUCGGUGAAAGUGAUGACACCCAUGAUUAUUGUGUCCAAGUCUAAAAGAUGAUUAGGAAGAAAGUAAAAGGCUUGAUUAUUUGUAGAGUUUGUUUGGAUAUUGUAGUUUUUUGAAAGGAUGACAUAUAUAUAUAUAGGAAGAAGGUUAGAAGUUCUUGUUUUUUAAACUGUUAAAUUUCUUCUGAUUGGAUCAUUCCUUCUGCAGAUACCAAAACAAAUAGACAAACAUAUUCGGUUCUUUGUCGAAUUUGCAUUUCCCAAGUCAUAACAAGCCAUUCCCAUUUAGUUGUGUAAGGACAUCAAUUACCUAAACCUAAAGCUUUUGACUACUUCCAAUACUGCAAGUUCUUAGCAAAAAAUGACAGAUGGGAGGAUAAGCGGAUAAGAUACUAUUUUGAUACUUAAAAGGGACAGAAUACUUGCAUAUUCUUUUUAUUAAACAAGUCUUGGUGAUUGAUAAACUACAGGUCUACAGCAAUUUGAUAAUUUAUGGAAUUGUAACUCACACAUGUUUAGGGCAAUUGAGAUCCUUGAUUUUGUCCUAUGCAUAUUGCACAAUAGGAUCCAAGUAUUUUAGAAAAGUAAUACUACAUCACAAGGACUUAUAAAUACAUACCAUCUUCUCAUAUUCUUCAAACAACCAUUUCAAGCAACCCUAGAGGUAAUUCAUCAUAAAAACUAAAAGAUGGUAAUCACCACUUUCACUGAUGAGUACAAUUACUCAAUCUCCCCGGCAAGGCUAUUCAAGGGAUCUGUCCUUGAUUCUCACAACUUGAUCCCAAAGCUCAUGUCACAGGCCAUUAGGAGCAUCGAAACUAUACAAGGCAAUGGAGGGACUGGCAGCAUCAAACAAAUCAACCUUGCCGGAGGCUAGAUUAUUUCUAACUUUCUCGAUACAUAUCUAAAAAUUCUAAAUUAGUCCCUAAUACUUUUUCAUUAUCCCAGAACAAUUUAUGCAACAUGAAUUUGACAUAUAUAAAUGUUUAAUUACUUGCAGGUAGCACUUUCAGUUACAUGAAGUACCACAUUGAUGAGCUGAACGAAGAGACAUACACGUAUAAUUAUACUUUGGUUGAAGGGGAUGCCUUGAUAAAGGGGCUUGAGAAGAUAACUUAUGAGAUUAAGUUUGAGGCCACACCUAAUGGUGGUACCAUCUCCAAGAUGACAAGUAAAUAUUAUACGGUGGGAGAUUUCGUAGUCAAGGAAGAGGAUGUCAAGGCUGGCAAAGAAAAGGCCUCAGGGAUGUACAAAGCUGCGGAAGCCUACCUCCUCCAAAACCCUGAUGCCUAUGCUUAGUGUUCUUGAAACCCAAAAUGAGUAAAAUUGAGUCUGCCUAUUUUCUGUUGUAUAAGGAUAAAACUUAAAAGCACCACACGGUGGAAAUGAUGUAAUUCGUCUUCUUAAUAAAAAUGGUCAAUCCAGUUUGUUUCCAUUCAUUUUUGUGGUUGCCUAUUUCUUUGCAAUUACUUAAUUUGUUGCAAUGGAAGUAAUUUCUGUG
rnacentral:lncRNA from 1 species